AAGCAUUAAAAUAAAUACUACUUGAGUCUGCAAGAUACACAGAGACAACACACAACAAUCACUGUUUAACUGUGAACAAACAUGGUACACAUCCAUUCCUUUUGUUCUGUAGUUUAUGUGUGUGCUUUUGAGUUCAACACAACAUUUAAUCAGUUUAACCUCAUCGACUGAGAGCUGAUCAGGUGCAUUUAGAUAAACUGACAGAUCCAUGUUUCUCUGCUGGUUGUGACAAAGUAUUAGAUUUGUCUUAAAAUACAUGAAAUUUAAAUCUAACACUGUCCACCUUGUCGUUUUAAUUGAUGAAAGCUGACAGCUCUGUUGCAGAUGACUUUGAGUCUGCUCGGAAGUGAAACUGAAGUGCAGUUGUUCUUCCGCUCCAGUAGGCGGCGGAAGCGGCUUCACGUUCAGUCUGAGCGCUUCGGAUUAGUGACAGAAUGACGCUUGUUGUGACAACAUGUGCAGACCGUUUAAAAUACAGAUCCUGCAGAUGACAGCUGAGUGACAGUGUUUUUAAUAUCACUAAACAGCAUCUAUUCCAGCACAGAAACAAACAAAUCCGACCCCCGCUGUGAUAAAGUGCAGGAAUGGAGAGUCACUAUUAAGGGAUGUAUUUGAACAGAAGCAGAGCUCUGGACGUGUGCACAGACUUUCACUGUAAUGAUGGACAUCUGCUCGUGGACAGAAGUAUAACCCCUGCUGGACAUGGUGCCGGGGCUCGGGGGGGACCCGAAUCGUCCCCAUCCCUUCAUUCACACAACACUCACUCAUAUCGCAGAGAUCUGGCUGGGAUCAAACCAGCAACCUCUGAACCGUGAGGCAGCGCUCUUACCUGUGAGCCACAGAUCUCUUGCUUAAACUUGUGAAGGAACUUAUAUUUCACUAUUUACCUGCAUGUGCUUUUACAAUAAACCAGUUAAAGCUUUG